CACCUGAGCUCCAUUAGUGAUCAGUGGGGCCAUAUAACCUUCCUGGAGCCAGUGAUCUCUUCCUCUUUGGUUUCCUGCCUUGCUGCCACCGGAGCUGUCGGCCUUGCUCAUGCUAUAGGACUGUGUAGUUCAUUGUUUAGUAGCCUAGUGUUAUUUAAAGAAGCUGGUCCAUCCAAUUGGUCCAUCCAUGGGCCGAAGUUUCAAAAUUAUCAUGUUAUUAUUAUCAAGCAAAGCUGUCUAACGGAGAGAUAUGGAAUACAAACCAAGAGCCUGCAGACAAUGUUGUGCCUGGAGAGAAACAAGCACAAUAACAGGUAUCGUCUGAAUGGACAACAAGAAAGCUAGAUGAAGUCAAAAUGUUCAAUGACCAUGUUGCACACAUCAAUAUGUGAAGCUGUGACACGUACGUGCAACUUCUAUUAGAAAGCAUGGACUGGAAUUUGACAGUUUUGCCAUGACAGUAUAUAAAUCUUAUGUCAUUCACCUGGGAUGAAUGCUUAGCCAAACAAGCUUUAACAUGAUUGACAGGAGAAACAACAGCGGGAAGACGGACAAAUACAUGACGAGAGUCUUAAAGUCUUGAAGGAUUACAUUGUCACCAUAAAAAAUGUAUGUACGAUUGCUAUUAUUGUAGAUGUUCAGCAUUGCUGUCACUCUAUUGUGCUUGCUGUAUAUGGACUUUAUCCGUAAGCUGAUGUUCUA
rnacentral:lncRNA from 1 species